rnacentral:tRNA from 1 species
GCCGCCGUAGCUCAGCGGGUUAGAGCGCCGGACUCAUACGGCGUUUAACCGAAAUCGAAAAUGCCUGAGCAAUCCGGAGGUCCCGGGUUCAAAUCCCGGCGGCGGCA